GUGAGGAGGUUGGAAUUAAUUCUCACCACCAACAGCUGCUAACUGUAGCCUACUAAGGGACAUCAGAAUUAGUAUUUUUUAAAUAAUCAUUUUGAGGUCUCUAAGCAGGCAUUAUAGGACUUGUAAUUAAUUGCUUACUGUUAUUUUAGGCUAUUUCUACUACUGCUGUUCUACUAUGACUAGUUGUGUGUCUUUGGACACUAAUGUUCUUUCUGACAGGAUUGAUUUCCCAAUUUCGCAGUUAUUUCCAGCAUUUCUGAAGCGAUCAUAAAGAGGCUCUGCACCAUCAUGCAGAAGAGGCCUAGUCUACUCAGCUGCUCCCCUUCAGGGGCAGUUCCACACCUCUGAUCCUCCUUGCUGCAAUUCUCAACAUUUUUCAGUUGUAACGUGUCGUUCUGAGGCUGGGACUACAUACAACAUUCAAGAGUGAGAAUUUUUAUUGAUCCAGCUAGUCAAUGGCACAGCUGUUAGAUGACAGAUGACACCAUACUUAAACAAGCCCAGAGAGUGUAUCUCAGAUUCAAAAAGUGCACUGCAAAGCUGCUGCUAUUCAGGAAAGGAAUAUCAAUGCACCUUCAGGAACUAAGCUUGACCAACACAAAAAAGUGUAAUCUUACCCUCAAAAGUGUCAACCAUUCUGAAAAAUGCAAGAGAGAAGGAAGAUUUUCCACUGCCUGUUCGGCCGCAGAUCCCAAUCUGUGACACAAAGAAGAUGAACAUCAAGUUCUGGAUUUGGAUCUCGCCUCUGUCUGGCCAGUUCUGGGGAAUCUGCGAGGAAGCUGUGCCAGGAGCAUAGGGGAACAAAUACAACCACCCUCUCUGAAUUCAUCGUAUCAUUAAGUGAUUUACUGAGUUAUUCAUGGUAAUACACUGCAAAAUCAUUAGUAUUUCAGCAAGCUCUUUCUGCAUGCUGCACAAAACUGCACUUACAAAGGAGCCCUUCAUAAUUUUCAGCUUCUGUUUUGAGAAGGCCAUGGAUUCUUUUCACUGCACCCAGCUGGAUCUCCAUAUCAGCCAGGUUACGAACCAUCCAAUUCAGAUAGUUAGACACC